CAUCCAAGGAAGGCAGCAGGCGCGUAAAUUACCCAAUCCUGACACAGGGAGGUAGUGACAAUAAAUAACAAUGCCGGGCCUUUGUAGGUCUGGCAAUUGGAAUGAGAACAAUUUAAACCCCUUAUCGAGUAUCAAUUGGAGGGCAAGUCUGGUGCCAGCAGCCGCGGUAAUUCCAGCUCCAAUAGCGUAUAUUAAAGUUGUUGCAGUUAAAAAGCUCGGAGUUGGAUUUGUGGUGUACUUCGGCGGUCCGCCACUAUGUGAUGGAGCUUGCUGAAGUCGCCCUCCUUGGGGGCAUCCUG
rnacentral:rRNA from 1 species